rnacentral:lncRNA from 1 species
GCGUCACCCCAUUUAGACAUAUAACAAAUCCAACACAGAAAAUCACAGAUAAUCCCACAGCAAGCACUGAGGCUCCAGUUUGAACAAAGGAUGCAGAAGAACUGGAACAGUGAGACAAGGUAGCAGAAGAGUCUAGCAGGAACCAAAGGGAGCAGGACCCUAAAGAAAAAUGACAGAAUACAAAAGUUGAGGAUUUUUUUGAAGGAGAAAAGAAGAGAAAAAGAAAACAAGAUGAAAAUGAGGUAAGAACGAAGAGUGGGAAGAAGACAAGGGGAGUAGUAUAAGAAAAGACAGAUUACGCAAGAAUAAAUGCACUGAUGGUAUGCUUCCACUUUUGUUUUAGUUACACUUCCUGGAGUGAAGAUGAGAGGUAAGGAGAGGAUGGGGCCAUGGUGCUCUCAGGGCUGUGGUGAGGUACAUUCCCAUGGCCCAUUCAUCUCUGUGAAAAAGGGGAGAACCCUCAAGCACUUCUAUUUCUCCAGUUGAACCUCAGGAGAGCAUGGUUUACAACCACUAAAAGGGAAUGAGAAGAAAGCUGCAGCCUUCCAGGAAGCUGGUAGGAGCUCAGCUAUGCACGAUCCCUGGGGCUCUGCUCUGGUGUUAUCUAUUUGCUUGAGGCCAACAUCAUCUUCCUUCAGAGCUUUUCCACAGAGCUUAAAGCAAAGGCACCAGUGACCCACCCGCACGCAGACGGCCGGGGUGCAAAAGCCAAACCAUUAAGAAUGUUCCCAAAGACCACGCAGUACGUGUGGUGCUCUGAGAAAACAGCAUCCAGCCGCCCCAGCAGCAUUUCCAGAGUUGUGCUUUCAUACCAGCGAGAGCAGAAGGGCAGGAACGGAACAUAUAAACAACCCUGACACCUCCAGCUUUCCUCUUAAAUUACUUCA